AGGGUUUGAUUAUGGCUCAGGAUGAACGCUGGCGGCGUGCCUAACACAUGCAAGUCGAGCGAAGCGGUUUCGAUGAAGUUUUCGGAUGGAUUCGGAAUUGACUGAGCGGCGGACGGGUGAGUAACGCGUGGGUAACCUGCCUCAUACAGGGGGAUAACAGUUAGAAAUGACUGCUAAUACCGCAUAAGCGCACAGGACUGCAUGGUCCAGUGUGAAAAACUCCGGUGGUAUGAGAUGGACCCGCGUCUGAUUAGCUAGUUGGUGGGGUAACGGCCUACCAAGGCGACGAUCAGUAGCCGACCUGAGAGGGUGACCGGCCACAUUGGGACUGAGACACGGCCCAA
rnacentral:rRNA from 1 species